UCUUAUGUUUCCUCUAUCCAUACUCCUCAAGUUAAUUUAUGUUGUCCCUCCGCCUGGUGAAGACAGUUUGUCUCCUAGCUGUCCUCUCUGCUGCUGAUAGAACAGCGGCUUCUGUAGACAGAAAUGGUGCAACAGAGGCUGGAGCCACCGUGGAAUAAGCAGAUGGACGCCAGUCGCGCUUACAGGCCGCUGACAUUUUACUUCUGGUGUGUAUGUGAAAUCAGCAACUGUAGAUGUACAGACAAGUGGCUCUCAGAGAAGUGUCUCUGUCCUUAAUAUUCCUGAUGCUGCCACUAACAACAAGGAUGAAGGGACAUCGUGGAAGCAUCGACUCUUUGGUUGCUCACUGAAAAAGCAAAGUGUCGUCACCUCAAAAAACGGCAAAACCACUGAGUCCAAAAAGGCUCCCAAGUUUCAGUGGUGGCACUGUUGCAGGAAAAGAAAUCAGGUCGCACCAGCUCCUGAAGAGCAGAGGCAAAAUGUACAGAGCCUGGAGGGGCAGAGCCCAGAAGGGCAGACCCCGGAAGGUG